rnacentral:misc_RNA from 1 species
CCCGUGCUAGGUUUAAGCCACGCAGAGAGGCACAGCACCAUGGAGCCCUCUUCGACGGAUGGGCAAGAACCGCAUCUUGCAGCAGUAGAAAUGGAGGGCGAGGAUCAGGCGGUCAUGUCCAACGACGAGGAAGACGAAGAGGAGCAGCCCAACGACGCGACGGUCUCCGACACGAAUGCGGCUUCCACCGCCGCCAGUGACGUUGACCAGGACGGCGCCGACAACGAUGACGACGCUGUUGACGAAGAAGGCGACGAAGAAGACGACGCCGAAGAGGACGAGGAGGCGGACGAUGGUGAUGACAGCGACGAAGAGGAGAGGCAGGUGUACCCUCUGCCGCCACUGCCGCCCGUCCACGCCCCAUCCAAGGUGCACGGCAUCGCCACGGCGGAGGUGUACAGCAUCAUCAAGGAGCUGCGCCGUCAAAUGGACGACCCGGUGGAGCGGGAGCACGCCAAAGCGAUGCUGCAAGGCGACACAGAUGUGCUGCUGGCCGUCGCGCAGGUGCUGCAAGAGGCACACCUACUCCGACGAGCCACAGUGAACGACCACGGUGUUGUCGAAGAGCAGCUCGUCCCCCAACCAGCGGCCGCACGGCCUUCACUGCCUACUGGCUACAACAGCUGGAUUGUUGAAACGCCGGCAAACGCGCGGCGGUGAGUGCGCACAGUGGCACGGCUGCUAAAUAUGCGUCCCGCCUUCUUUGGGGCACGCGUCUGCUGGUGAUGUGGACAGGGAAGCAGUUUCGCCAUGUGUGCCUGGAGCCCCCCUCUUGUGACGCAGAAAGACACCGU